rnacentral:rRNA from 1 species
GAUGAACGCUGGCGGCGUGCCUAAUACAUGCAAGUCGAACGCGCAGCGAAAGGUGCUUGCACCUUUCAAGCGAGUGGCGAACGGGUGAGUAACACGUGGAUAACCUGCCUCAAGGCUGGGGAUAACAUUUGGAAACAGAUGCUAAUACCGAAUAAAACUUAGUAUCGCAUGAUAUAAAGUUACAAGGCGCUACGGCGUCACCUAGAGAUGGAUCCGCGGUGCAUUAGUUAGUUGGUGGGGUAAAGGCUUACCAAGACAAUGAUGCAUAGCCGAGUUGGGAGACUGAUCGGCCACAUUGGAACUGAGACACGGCCCAAACUCCUACGGGAGGAUGCAGUAGGGAAUCUUCCACAAUGGGCGCAAGCCUGAUGGAGCAAGGCCGCGUGUGUGAUGAAGGCUUUCGGGUCGUAAAGCACUGUUGUAUGGGAAGAAAUGCUAAAAUAGGGAAUGAUUGUAGUUUGACGGUACCAUACCAGAAAGGGACGGCUAAAUACGUGCCAGCCGCCGCCGUAA